CAUGAUGAACGCUGGCGGCGUGCCUAAUACAUGCAAGUCGAACGGGAUUCCAAGAUUUCGGUUUUGGAUGAGAGUGGCGCACGGGUGAGUAACACGUAGCUGACCUGCCCUUUGCCGGGGGAUAACCCGGGGAAACCCGGGCUAAUACCGCGUAAGCUUGAUACUCUUAGAAGGUAUCGAGGAAAGUGUUUGGAAACGGCGAAGGAGGGGGCUGCGGGCCAUCAGCUAGUUGGUGAGGUAACGGCUCACCAAGGCGAAGACGGCUAGGGGGCCUGAGAGGGUGACCCCCCACACUGGGACUGAGACACGGCCCAGACUCCUACGGGAGGCAGCAGUAAGGAAUAUUGCCCAAUGGACGCCAGUCUGAGGCAGCAACGCCGCGUGGAGGAUGACGGUCUUCGGAUUGUAAACUCCUUUUCUGUGUGAAGAGAAAGGACGGUAGCACAGGAAGAAGUCUCGGCUAACUACGUGCCAGCAGCCGCGGUAAAACGUAGGAGGCGAGCGUUAUCCGGAGUUACUGGGCGUAAAGCACGCGUAGGCGGUGGUGCAAGUGGUGCGUGAAAGCUCCUGGCUCAACUGGGAGAGGCCGUACCAAACUGCAUGACUAGAGAGAGACAGAGGUCGACGGAAUUCCGGGUGGAGUGGUGAAAUGCGUAGAGAUCCGGAGGAACAUCAGUGGCGAAGGCGGUCGGCUGGGUCUCAUCUGACGCUGAGGUGCGAAAGCGUGGGUAGCGAACGGGAUUAGAAACCCCGGUAGUCCACGCCGUAAACGAUGCAGACUAGAUGUCG
rnacentral:rRNA from 1 species